rnacentral:rRNA from 1 species
AACGAACGCUGGCGGCAUGCCUAACACAUGCAAGUCGAACGAGAUCUUCGGGUCUAGUGGCGCACGGGUGCGUAACGCGUGGGAAUCUGCCCUUUGGUUCGGAAUAACAGGUGGAAACGACUGCUAAUACCGGAUGAUGACGAAAGUCAAAAGAUUUAUCGCCAGAGGAUGAGCCCGCGUAGGAUUAGCUAGUUGGUGUGGUAAAGGCGCACCAAGGCGACGAUCCUUAGCUGGUCUGAGAGGAUGAUCAGCCACACUGGGACUGAGACACGGUCCAGACUCCUACGGUAGGCAGCAGUGGGGAAUAUUGGACAAUGGGCGAAAGCCUGAUCCAGCAAUGCCGCGUGAGUGAUGAAGGCCUUAGGGUUGUAAAGCUCUUUUACCCGGGAUGAUAAUGACAGUACCGGGAGAAUAAGCUCCGGCUAACUCCGUGCCAGCCGCCGCCGUAA